rnacentral:rRNA from 1 species
CACCUACGGGUGGCUGCAGUGGGGAAUUUUGGACAAUGGGGGCAACCCUGAUCCAGCAAUGCCGCGUGUGUGAAGAAGGCCUUCGGGUUGUAAAGCACUUUUGUCCGGAAAGAAAUCCCCUGCUCUAAUACAGCGGGGGGAUGACGGUACCGGAAGAAUAAGCACCGGCUAACUACGUGCCAGCAGCCGCGGUAAUACGUAGGGUGCGAGCGUUAAUCGGAAUUACUGGGCGUAAAGCGUGCGCAGGCGGUUUUGUAAGACAGGCGUGAAAUCCCCGAGCUCAACUUGGGAAUGGCGCUUGUGACUGCAAGGCUAGAGUAUGUCAGAGGGGGGUAGAAUUCCACGUGUAGCAGUGAAAUGCGUAGAGAUGUGGAGGAAUACCGAUGGCGAAGGCAGCCCCCUGGGACGUCACUGACGCUCAUGCACGAAAGCGUGGGGAGCAAACAGGAUUAGAUACCCUGGUAGUCCACGCCCUAAACGAUGUCAACUAGUUGUUGGGGAUUCAUUUCUUCAGCAACGUAGCUAACGCGUGAAGU